GUUCUUUAACAAUGUGGUAAAAAGUAUAAGUAAAGAUUCCUUGAUUAAUUUAGGGUUAUUUUUUAUUUUCGAUUGAGAUGUAUUUUUAUGUUUUGAUUGAUAAAUGGGAAUAAUUUUUAGUUUAUUUAAUUAACGAGUCUUGGUAAUUUUUGAAAACCGGUGUUGAGAUAUAGUUUUGAUUGGUUUUAGUUAAUAGAUUUUAGAUUUAUUGAUAUAAGACUUUUUGGGGUUAUA
rnacentral:misc_RNA from 1 species